UUGUGGUCAAAAAGCUCGUAGUUGGAUCUCAACAGCCUUGAAGACGGUUAACUUUGUAGUUUUACUGCUUUAUAGGCUGUGCUUUUGCUGGAGGUUUAGGGGUGCUCUUGAUCGAGUGUCUCUGGAUGCCAGCAGGUUUACUUUGAAAAAAUUAGAGUGCUCAAAGCAGGCUAAAAUGCCUGAAUAUUCGUGCAUGGAAUAAUAGAAUAGGAUGUCGAUCCUAUUUUGUUGGUUUUCGGGACUCGACAUAAUGAUAAAUAGGGACAGUCGGGGG
rnacentral:rRNA from 1 species